UUGGCGGUAGAUGUUCAUGGUGAUCC
rnacentral:piRNA from 1 species